UGAAGAACGUAGCAAAAUGCGAUACUUGGUGUGAAUUGCAGAAUCCCGUGAACCAUCGAGUUUUUGAACGCAAGUUGCGCCCGAAGCCUUUUGGCCGAGGGCACGUCUGCCUGGGCGUCACGCAUCGCGUCGCCCCCCACAAUUCUCCGUAAAGGGAACAUGUGUUUUGGGGGCGGAUAUUGGUCUCCCGUGCUCAUGGCGUGGUUGGCCGAAAUAGGAGUCCUUUCGAUGGACGCACGAACUAGUGGUGGUCGUAAAAACCCUCGUCUUUUGUUUCGUGCUGUUGCUCGCAAGGUAAACUCUUUAAAAACCCCAAUGUGUCGUCUCUUGACGACGCUUCGACCGCGACCCCAGGUCAGGCGGGACUACCCGCUGAGUUUAAGCAUAUCAAUAAGCGGAGGA
rnacentral:misc_RNA from 1 species